UUUUUUUUUUUUUAUGUUCAGAUCUUUGAAACUCAUAUUGUGAUUGUUUGUUUUUAUCAUUUAGGUUGAGAGAAGCUUGAUCUUAGCUUUUGAAGUGGUGGUUGGUUCUGUCGGUAGUGUUAGUGGUGGUACGCUUUGUUCAUCCUAUGAUUGUGAAGGGAGCAAACUAGUUGAAAUGAUAAACCCAUAUCUUAGAUUUCUUUGUUCUUGUGUUUUCUUUGUCUUCAUUUGUUAAAGAAAUUGAAAGGAAUGUUUUUUUUUCUUUUCUGAUUUUGGUUGAUAAUGGAAAUUUGAAAGGGUGAAAGCUUUUAGUAAUCCCUAUUUCGUAUUACCUUUCGAACAUAUGCAGUAUAUGAAAAAAAUUGUUGUGUGAUAUGACACACUUCCCACAUGGCUUGACAGCUAAACUAUAGGAAGACUUAUACUAACCCUCAAGUGGAAGCUGAUGAUGAAAGACAUGGAUCCUACUCAAUUUCAUAAACAUAUGCUCAAGCGAAUGAAAUAUAUUCAAAUGUACAAUGACUAUUGGUUGGUGGUGCACACAUCGAAAGAGUUUGAAGCUUGGUCGGCUAAAAAAUUGAGCAUAAGGAAACAUAGUCCAAGCAGUUCUUUGGUGGUGUUUGCAGAAAAGGAUCAUUGUCGUCUCAUGGAGCUGAACUCGAUAAUGACACCCCACAAGGAAGGAAACAAAUUGCAUUUUCUGUCUUGCCUGUUGAGCUCUGAUAACUGUCACACUAGUUUGGAUUGAAAGCAAUAAAGGUUGAGAAUUGAGUUUUUGAAUCCACACUGCAUAAAUAUUUUUGUUGAUCCGAAUCUUUUUUGUUGGCACAUUUAACCGUAUAGGAAUAACUUUCCCACUGGAAGCACACUUAUAACCAUAAUCAAGGUUAAAUUUUUACGGUGAUCUCAAUUUUCUUAAAGUACUUGUUGUUGUUGCUAUUCCUCCUUUUUUUAUUGUUGCAAUUCACAACCAUUUCCUAAUUUUUAGUUUCUCAUAGAGUUGGAAACUGACUGAUUGAUGGCUCAUAUGUUUGAUUUUUGUAGGUCUUGGCUGUAGCAUCUUUUAACAAAUGCAGGAGUGCAAGAAAUGCAGUUGCAAGAGUGGCUUGUAGCCUAACUAUGCAACCAAAAGGCUCAACUGAUUGUCUAAUUAAAGUUUCUUAACAGAGCAUUAACUAACAAACAUGCUCAUCCAGUACUAGAGUGCACCUUAAAACAUAUAUAACGGUAAAAAUAGUCUUCGGAGUCCCUUUCAGUUUUAAUAUUUGCUUUUACAGUCAUAUUUUGUUCCAUUUGCGAGAAGGAAUGCUAUGUUGGUUGCUUGAGGGACCAUGUGCAUCAUGUGUGAUAUGAGGGAAUUACCAAAGGUGUGAUGGCUUUGCAAUGAUGACUACUGUAUACUCAUUUGAAUUGUGGGCUAUCAGUAUGGCCUAACUUCAAUAGGGAUAUAAAUGUUGUAAUGUUUGUAAUUGAAGUACAUCCCUGAGAGACAGAGUUUGCAGCUGAUUGUUCGAUUGUGAUUUCUGAUAAUCUUGAGGUUAUUGAAGGAACGCGUUGGUCGUAUGUUUGAUAGUUAGGAUGGAUUGAUGCUUUUCUGAGCACCGUAGUCAAUGCCCUACGUUGAUAGUGAAGGUGCCAGCUUCAACGUUAAUUCUCACACUGCCGCAAAAGAUUAUUUCAUAUGUUGGUCCCGUGGUUUAAUGUAUUCUAAUUUAGUGUUUUUAUAUUUGAAUUGGCGGGUUCGAGUCUUCGUUUUAGUCUCGUUUCUGUUUGAUAUGUAUACUGUAAAGUUUUGGUGUUAUGCCAUUAAUAAAGUGAAACUUUCGAGCAAUAUA